rnacentral:rRNA from 1 species
UACGGAAGUGCCUAGCGUUGUUCGGAAUUACUGGGCGUAAAGAGCGCGUAGGCGGCUUACCAAGUUGGAGGUGAAAUCCCGGAGCUCAACUCCGGAACUGCCUUCAAAACUGGUAGGCUCGAGUCCGGAAGAGGGGCGUGGAAUUCCCAGUGUAGAGGUGAAAUUCGUAGAUAUUGGGAAGAACACCGGUGGCGAAGGCGGCGCCCUGGUCCGGUACUGACGCUGAGGCGCGAAAGCGUGGGGAGCAAACAGG